AGCGAAGUGUCAAGCAACUGCUCCGUGCAUUCGUAUGCAGAUGGACUGUCGCUUGAUUGGAGAAUUAACCGCCGCUUCUCCUUGACUGACGAUGGAAUAAUGUACUGUUCGUCUUCCCGGUUCAAACCUGCUCGAAUUCCAAGAAACACCUACGUCAAUUUGCAAGAUCGCGCAAUUUCUUAUCAGCGUGAAGCACACGAAAUCCGAUGAAAACGACGUCGGAAGAGCGAAACUGAAAAGCAACGAAGCGGCGCAUCUGGCACAGCGGCGGAGACCACCGCGUCAUUAUUUAUGGGGUUUACGGGGUUCGGUCAACCGCAAGGGUAGCUGAAGGCACUACGCCCUUGAGGACUCGAGCUUCCAAGUCGGGGUGUUGCCAAGUGUGAACCGAGAAGGCGUUGCUGUUUACUAUCUCGCCACGAAGAUCCAACCGACCUCCCGAGCAUACGUUUGCGUAUAUUGUUGGUCCGUGGUCGCAUUCCCUGGUCCCAUCAUCUCCCUCUGAAAACAAUGAGUUUAGUAGCAACUGCUUCACAAGGGAAGUUAACGUUUACCUGUUUAAGGUAAUACGAACAUCAGGAACCCCCCGUGACCGCUAACGAACGCGGAAUACCUUCUGUCAUUAGCGAACGGAAUGGAAAUGUCGGAAGUUAACCCCUUUAAUGGCUCUGUUACCUUUUUUCCGGAAGUUUUUCGUUUGUAGUGUUGAUUGGGGGUUGCUAGACCAUUUUCUAUUUAUUGUUCUUGUGAAAUUUGUCGAAGCAUAAAUGUACACCAUAAGAAUGCCUUAAAGUGGCUGAACUUGAACUGAAUUUUAUUAACAGAAACAUAAAGUUAUAAAUACAUUCUUCAAUUCUCACAAGAAAACAAAACAAAUAAAUGUAAACAAACCAC